UUCUUAAAUCUGGGCACUGUUUUGUACAGAAGCUUUCAUCUAUAGAGAAGCACAUCUGUUUCAAGUACAUACUAUUAAAUCUUAUGAGCAAGUUUGCUGCAAUGAUGUUCCACAUAUAUGGUUUGCAACUCCAUCAAUUAAAUUUGGUGUCAACUUUUUGUACAAUUCUGCGACUUAUAGUUUGACCCAGUUAUUAUGUGAUGAAUUUAGAGGGAUGGAGGUAAGGUUUGGCCAAGUUAAUUUGAGAAACUAAGAUGCCGAAUAGGUUCUUACUAUAUCACAGAUCAAUGGUCCUAGUUCUUGCAAUCGUACUUUUUGCAAUUGACAUUUGACAUAAAAUGUACAACCUCAAUGAGUUCUUUUUUUAACAGAUUGAUGAGUCUAUUUGGUGCAGGCUAAUCUGGAAAAGAAGCCAAUUCAAGCUGUAAUUGAGUAACAAAGGAGGUCAUGUUUUUCAUAUGUAGAUGACGAACUUAUGUGUUAUUAGAUGUGCUCUUCCUACUUCGUUG
rnacentral:lncRNA from 1 species